rnacentral:rRNA from 1 species
UAAUUUUUUACAAUAAUUAGUUUAAACUGUUCAAUUCAGUUUUAUCUGAGGCAAUUUAAAUUUUUUAAAAAAAAUAAAAUAAUUGAAAAAAAUUAUUUUUUGUUUAAAUUGAUUAUCAAUAAAUUUUUUAAAAUUGAAACUGUGGGGGGGACUAAUUGAUUCAUGGAUAAGAAAAUUUUUAUAUUGUACCUUUUGUAUCAGGGUUGAUUAAUUUAUUUUAGUUAUUUAGCUUUCCCGAAAGGUUAAGAUCUUAAUUAAUUUGUUUUUUGUUGUGGUAUAAUUAUUGUUAAAUUUAAUUAAGAUUUGAAAUGAAAAUCGUUUAAUUAGUUAUCUGGUUAUUUUGGAAAUAAAUUUAAUUUAGGGGUAAUUUAUCAGUUAAAAAUUUAUUUUUAUUAAAAACUUUAAACGCUAAUGUAAACUGGGUUAAUCUAGUUUAAAUUUUAUAAAUAUCUAUUUAGAGGACGUUGUAGGAUUAAAAUUUUUUUUCUAUCGAAGUUUAUUAUAAAUUAUUCCUGAAAUUUUUAAAAUUUUAAUUCUCUACAAAAUUAACAAAUAAAAUUUUUUUAUUUGUUAAAAAUGAUUAAAUAAGUAAAUUUAAAAUUUAAUUUUAUGAACUCGGCAAGUUCAUUUUCUGUCUGUUUAUCAAAAACAU